rnacentral:lncRNA from 1 species
UCAUCCACCGGGGCCACCCCCACCUUCUCUCAAAUAACUUCAUUCUUAAUCUUAUCUAGACUGGUGUGUCCGCACAUCCACCUAAGCAUCCUCAUCUCCGCAACCUUCAUUCUUUGAACAUGCGAAUUCUUCACGUGCCAGCACUCCGCCCCAUACAUCAUCGCAGGUCUAACCACGGCUCUAUAGAAUUUCCCCUUGA